UGAAAAAAUGUUGUUGAUUCUGCCAACUAGCUGAUUUGGAAAUAUGACUAAUGUUUGAUAAGAAACUGAAACUAUAAGUUGCAAAUGAUUUAUGGGUAACAUAUUUGUGUAACUGCCAUUUUUACGCUGGCUCCAAUUACGCUGCUAUUUUUCUCAUCGUGAAAUACAUAUUGGAGAGUUAAAUGGCUGCAAACAAACUUUAUACAGGCAAUUGUCAGCAACUAGAAAGUAGAAAUUGUGAUCUUUCUGCACGAAAUUAGGAGCAGUUAAAACUAUUAAAUUUUAAUAUCUGGGGAUAUGCUCUUUACUUGUUUUACUUUGUAGACAGAUUUCAUGUUGAUUAUGUGGGAGAUCAGUCAAUCUCACUUUUUCCUCUGAUAUACAGGAAUUUCUUGA
rnacentral:misc_RNA from 1 species